UACAGAGGUCUCAAGCGUUGUUCGGAUUCAUUGGGCGUAAAGGGUGCGUAGGCGGCGUAACAAGUCACUUGUGAAAUCUCCGGGCUUAACUCGGAGCGGUCAAGUGAUACUGUUGUGCUAGAGUGCGGAAGGGGCUACUGGAAUUCUCGGUGUAGCGGUGAAAUGCGUAGAUAUCGAGAGGAACACCUGCGGCGAAGGCGGGUAGCUGGGCCGACACUGACGCUGAAGCGCGAAAGCUAGGGGAGCGAACGGG
rnacentral:rRNA from 1 species